UUCUGCCGCGAUUUUGACCAUA
rnacentral:siRNA from 1 species